GACGAACGCUGGCGGCGUGCUUAACACAUGCAAGUCGAACGCUGAAGCUCAGCUUUUGUUGGGUGGAUGAGUGGCGAACGGGUGAGUAACACGUGAGUAACCUGCCUCCUUCUUUGGGAUAACGCCCGGAAACGGGUGCUAAUACUGGAUAUUCACUGGUCUUCGCAUGGGGGUUGGUGGAAAGGGUUUUUCUGGUGGGGGAUGGGCUCGCGGCCUAUCAGCUUGUUGGUGGGGUGAUGGCCUACCAAGGCUUUGACGGGUAGCCGGCCUGCGAGGGUGACCGGUCACAUUGGGACUGAGAUACGGCCCAGACUCCUACGGGAGGCAGCAGUGGGGAAUAUUGCACAAUGGGCGCAAGCCUGAUGCAGCGACGCCGCGUGAGGGAUGGAGGCCUUCGGGUUGUGAACCUCUUUCGCUCAUGGUCAAGCCGCAACAAUGGUUGUGGUGAGGGUAGUGGGUAAAGAAGCGCCGGCUAACUACGUG
rnacentral:rRNA from 1 species